UACGAAGGGGGCUAGCGUUGCUCGGAAUCACUGGGCGUAAAGCGCACGUAGGCGGCUUCUUAAGUCAGGGGUGAAAUCCCGGGGCUCAACCUCGGAACUGCCUUUGAUACAGCACGUCUCGAGUCCGGAAGAGGUGGGUGGAAUUCCUAGUGUAGCGGUGAAAUGCGUAGAUAUUGGGAGGAACACCAGUGGCGAAGGCGGCUCACUGGACCGGAACUGACGCUGAGGCGCGAAAGCGUGGGGAGCAAACAGG
rnacentral:rRNA from 1 species